GUGGACAUGUCGAUAUUGAGGUCACCGACAAUGUAGACUAGUGUGUUAAGAUCUACGAAGGUUAGUAUUUGAUCAAUCAUUGUUGUGAUUUGUGUAAUUGGAGUACGUGGCUUUCCAUAUAUAUUACGGAUGUUAAGUUGUGUACCUGAUAAUAUUAUCGUUAGUGUAAUUGCUUCAAUAUCAGUUGAAUGAUGAGGUUUAGAUGUGGAAAUUGGUAAGUUUGUAUUUUUGAAAGUUGAGAUUCCAUGUAUUUUGUACGUUGUAUAGGUGUUAAAAGUGAUUUGUGAGAGGAGUUGUAUGAGAUGGAUGAAUGUAUGUUUCUUGUAGACACAAGAUAUCUGAGGACAUUAACAAGUUGUCAUUGCGGAUGUCUGCUGCAUGUGCUUGUAGGCUACGGGUGUUCAGUGUGCAUAUAACUAGGUGAUGAAAGCUCUUGGAACAAGUUAAUCUGUUGUCAACGUUCCAUUGUGCACUUGUCAGUAGACGCAACAUUUCUAGGUGCACUUAUUUUUAACUUUAAAGUUUGUUGAAGCCAAUGGUCGUAGCAAGUAUAAUUUGUCAAUUGUUUUGGUUUGUGAUAGUGUUGUGUAUGCUAAUCCAUGUUGUUUAAUGCCAGUGGGGUCAAAUGCCAUGGCAUCUAGUGGAAGUUCUUGUGAUCGAUGUAUUGUCCGUGCACAAGAAACUUGAAUUGGAAAUUGUUUCCUUAUUGUAGUAUGGGGUGUGUUAUUUAGUUUGUGGAUUGCUUUAGUUAUACGGAGGGAGUCCAGUCUUUGUGAAUCGUCGGAGUGUGAUAGUGUGCGAGUUUUCUGCGUUGUUGUUUUCCUACUUUUGGAUCAUUGAACUGAAUCCAGAUGAUGUCAAUGUUAUUGUGUUUUGUGUAUAUUUUUGAAAAUGCCACUUGAAGUUCGUGACGUAGCCACAUUUCACCAUGUGGUAGGUCUACAGAUAGAGGUGUCCAGCCACCAAAAGAGAUGCAGGAUAGCAGCCACAUGGAAGCUCUUCUUCUGAAUGCUUGAAGUGGAAUGAAGCCAAAACAGAGUAUUCAGUAACCAUAUAAAUAUUUUUAUUUUGCUUAGCAGAGUAAAUGGGGACUAGCCAAAAUUGCAGGAGUAGAACGAAGUAUUUCCGGAGCUGUAGGAUACGUCAGCGCUCAAAGCGGCAUUCUUCUGUGUUUUUACGUGUGUUGCUUUAUGGGCCAGCGUACCCAAAAACCGAAGUAUUUCUGGAGCUGUAGGAUACGGCAGCGCUCAAAGCGGCAUUCUUCUGUGUUUUUACGUGUGUUGCUUUAUGGGCCAGCGUACCCAAAAACCUAGCUGGUGGCAGGAGGAUUCAAGAGCAUUCAAACAGAUGCUAUUUUCAUCAUCAUACACCACAGAAAAGCAUUCAAACAGAUGCUAUUUUCAUUCAAAGUAUAAGGCAUCACAGUCCAGCACGUAUGAAAAAGACGCGUUUUCCUCGCUCCUGUUCCUACACUUCCAGCAAAUGAAGUGUGUCUGAUGCAGAACUCAACCACAAUACCAGCCACAAAUCGAGAAUGUUCAGAAGUUAUUAACUCGCUCAAGUCGGCAAAAGUCAUUAAAUGACAUUAAAUGUCAUUAAGAGCAUGAACAUUUCCAGAGAUUUCCAAUUCAGCAGUUACACCUCAUUUAUAGACGCUGUCCAAUCACUUGUGUAAAAGUUUCGAAAGACAUCAAUAUCAAUGUCUAAAUUUUUUAAGCAUACAUAUUUUCUCAUUAUU